GAUGAACGCUGGCGGCGUGCCUAAUACAUGCAAGUCGAGCGAACAGACGAGGAGCUUGCUCCUCUGACGUUAGCGGCGGACGGGUGAGUAACACGUGGAUAACCUACCUAUAAGACUGGGAUAACUUCGGGAAACCGGAGCUAAUACCGGAUAAUAUAUUGAACCGCAUGGUUCAAUAGUGAAAGACGGUUUUGCUGUCACUUAUAGAUGGAUCCGCGCCGCAUUAGCUAGUUGGUAAGGUAACGGCUUACCAAGGCAACGAUGCGUAGCCGACCUGAGAGGUUGACCCGCCCCACUGGAACUGAGACACGGUCCCGACCCCUACGGGAGGCAGCAGUAGGGAAUCUUCCGAAAUGGGCGAAAGCCUGACGGAGCAACGCCGCGUGGGUGAUGAAGGUCUUCGGUUCGUAAAACUCUGUUAUUAGGGAAAAACAAAUGUGUAAGUAACUAUGCCCGUCUUGACGGUACCUAAUCAAAAAGCCCCGGCUAACUACGU
rnacentral:rRNA from 1 species